rnacentral:rRNA from 1 species
CAGUAGCCGCGGUAAUACAGAGGGUGCGAGCGUUAAUCGGAUUUACUGGGCGUAAAGCGUGCGUAGGCGGCUUCUUAAGUCGGAUGUGAAAUCCCUGAGCUUAACUUAGGAAUUGCAUUUGAUACUGGGAAGCUAGAGUAUGGGAGAGGAUGGUAGAAUUCCAGGUGUAGCGGUGAAAUGCGUAGAGAUCUGGAGGAAUACCGAUGGCGAAUGCAGCCAUCUGGCCUAAUACUGACGCUGAGGUACGAAAGCAUGGGGAGCAAACAGGAUUAGAUACCCGCGUAGUCCCUGUCUCUUAUAC